rnacentral:rRNA from 1 species
UACGUAGGGAGCAAGCGUUGUCCGGAAUCAUUGGGCGUAAAGCGCGCGUAGGUGGCCCGGUAAGUCCGCUCUGAAAGUCACAGGCUCAACCUGUGAAAGCGGGUGGAUACUGCCGGGCUAGAGUCCGGAAGAGGCGAGUGGAAUUCCUGGUGUAGCGGUGGAAUGCGCAGAUAUCAGGAGGAACACCAACGGCGAAGGCAGCUCGCUGGGACGGUACUGACACUGAGGCGCGAAAGCGUGGGGAGCAAACGGG